GGGCCGAGUGAGGAGGGGGAAAUGGAAAUGAAAGUGCACUAUAAGGUGUGAAAUGUGUAGUGUUAACCAUAAUUUCUCCAGUUAGCACUGCGCGUGUGCAACAAUGAACUUUUUCUAUGCACUCCUCUUCUGUAUGGUGUCCUGCCUCUGUGGAAGUGAAGCAGCGAUCUGGUCCAGAUCUUGUUGCUUGAAAAAAUAUACAGCAAAAUAUCCACCUGUGAAAAAUGUUGUGGAUUGUAAAGUCCAGAGUGCAGGGGUUUGCCCCUUUGAUGCAAUCAUUAUCACGACGCGCAGAGGCCGGAAACUCUGUUAUGAUCCAAAGGAGGAAUGGGUUGUUAAAAAUGUGAUGAACGGAACCAACGCUUGUGAUGGGAACAUAACAAAGAAGAACUCCAGAAAGGGCAAAAAGGCAGGCAGGGGAAGGAAAAGGGGAAAGAAAGUUUAAACUAGAUUAUUGUUCAAAUAUAAUUAACUGUAAUGCAAAAUGUUUUGAUGAGUGCUGGCACUCAGUUAUUUAAAUACAUAUAUUGUACGUAAUAGGUUGUUCGGCUUCAAGAAAACCUCACAAUAAAAAAAAAAAAAACAAGGAACAAAAUUAGUUAUAAAUAUACUUUUUGUAUUAGUCUGUAAAUCUGUGAAAUG